rnacentral:rRNA from 1 species
GACGAACGCUGGCGGCGUGCUUAACACAUGCAAGUCGAGCGGUAAGGCCUCUUCGGUGUUACACGAGCGGCGAACGGGUGCGUAACACUUGCGUGACGUGCCCCCAGCUCUGGGAUAAGCCUGGGAAACUGGGUCUAAUACCAGAAACGAACUUUCACCUCAAGGGGUUUGGUGGACAGUGUUUUCGGCUGGUGAUGGGCCCACGGCCGCUCAGCCGGUUUGUGGGGUGAUGGCCUACGAAGGCGACGACGGGUGGCCUGGCUGCGAGGGCGACCGGCCACCCCGUGAGUGAGCCACGGCCCGGAAUCCUACGGGAGGCAGCAGUGGCGAAUCUUGCGCAAUCGGCGGAAGCCUGACGCAGCGCCGCUGCGUGAGGGAUGACGGCCUUGGAGUUGUAAACCUCUUUCGACCCCGACGAAUUUGGACGGUAGCGGUACAGGAAGCACCGGCCAACUACGUG